rnacentral:lncRNA from 1 species
AAUUUCACACCUGGAUGUGCUCACUCAACCAAGAAUAUAGAGAAAGAGCUUCUGCCCUGAGACUCAGAAAAAUAUUCUCCUCUGCUUCUGUUCACUAUAGAUUUCUAGACCCUGAUCAUUGCUUAAGAGAUAUUCACUGGGG